ACGAACGCUGGCGGCGUGGAUAAGACAUGCAAGUCGAACGGGAGAAUUGCUAGCUUGCUAAUAAUUCUCUAGUGGCGCACGGGUGAGUAACACGUGAGUAACCUGCCUCUUAGUGGGGGAUAGCCCUGGGAAACCGGGAUUAAUACCGCAUACGAUUGAAAGAUCAAAGCAGCAAUGCGCUAGGAGAUGGGCUCGCGGCCUAUUAGUUAGUUGGUGAGGUAACGGCUCACCAAGGCGAUGACGGGUAGCCGGUCUGAGAGGAUGUCCGGCCACACUGGAACUGAGACACGGUCCAGACACCUACGGGUGGCAGCAGUCGAGAAUCAUUCACAAUGGGGGCAACCCUGAUGGUGCGACGCCGCGUGGGGGAAUGAAGGUCUUCGGAUUGUAAACCCCUGUCAUGUGGGAGCAAAUUAAAAAGAUAGUACCACAAGAGGAAGAGACGGCUAACUCUGUGCCAGCAGCCGCGGUAAUACAGAGGUCUCAAGCGUUGUUCGGAAUCACUGGGCGUAAAGCGUGCGUAGGCUGUUUCGUAAGUCGUGUGUGAAAGGCAGGGGCUCAACCCCUGGAUUGCACAUGAUACUGCGAGACUAGAGUAAUGGAGGGGGAACCGGAAUUCUCGGUGUAGCAGUGAAAUGCGUAGAUAUCGAGAGGAACACUCGUGGCGAAGGCGGGUUCCUGGACAUUAACUGACGCUGAGGCACGAAGGCCAGGGGAGCGAAAGGGAUUAGAUACCCCUGUAGUCCUGGCAGUAAACGGUGCACGCUUGGUGUGCGGGGAAUCGACCCCCUGCGUGCCGGAGCUAACGCGUUAAGCGUGCCGCCUGGGGAGUACGGUCGCAAGAUUAAAACUCAAAGAAAUUGACGGGGACCCGCACAAGCGGUGGAGUAUGUGGCUUAAUUCGAUGCAACGCGAAGAACCUUACCUGGGCUUGACAUGUAAUGAACAACAUGGGAAAGCAUGCGACUCUUCGGAGGCGUUACACAGGUGCUGCAUGGCCGUCGUCAGCUCGUGUCGUGAGAUGUUUGGUUAAGUCCAGCAACGAGCGCAACCCCUGUUGCCAGUUACCAGCACGUCAAGGUGGGGACUCUGGCGAGACUGCCCAGAUCAACUGGGAGGAAGGUGGGGACGACGUCAGGUCAGUAUGGCCCUUAUGCCCAGGGCUGCACACGUACUACAAUGCCCAGUACAGAGGGGGCCGAAGCCGCGAGGCGGAGGAAAUCCUGAAAACUGGGCCCAGUUCGGACUGUAGGCUGCAACCCGCCUACACGAAGCCGGAAUCGCUAGUAAUGGCGCAUCAGCUACGGCGCCGUGAAUACGUUCCCGGGUCUUGUACACACCGCCCGUCACAUCAUGGAAGCCGGUCGCACCCGAAGUAUCUGAAGCCAACCGCAAGGAGGCAGGGUCCUAAGGUGAGACUGGUAACUGGGAUG
rnacentral:rRNA from 1 species